GGGCAACCUGCCUGURAGACUGGGAUAACUUCRGGAAACCUAAGCUAAUACCGGAUAGGAUCUUCUCCUUCAUGGGAGAUGAUUGAAAGAUGGUUUCGGCUAUCACUUACAGAUGGGCCCGCGGUGCAUUAGCUAGUUGGUGAGGUAACGGCUCACCAAGGCAACGAUGCAUAGCCGACCUGAGAGGGUGAUCGGCCACACUGGGACUGAGACACGGCCCAGACUCCUACGGGAGGCAGCAGUAGGGAAUCUUCCGCAAUGGACGAAAGUCUGACGGAGCAACGCCGCGUGAGUGAUGAAGGCUUUCGGGUCGUAAAACUCUGUUGUUAGGGAAGAACAAGUACAAGAGUAACUGCUYGUACCUUGACGGUACCUAACCAGAAAGCCACGGCUAACUACGUGCCAGCAGCCGCGGUAAUACGUAGGUGGCAAGCGUUAUCCGGAAUUAUUGGGCGUAAAGCGCGCGCAGGCGGUUUCUUAAGUCUGAUGUGAAAGCCCACGGCUCAACCGUGGAGGGUCAUUGGAAACUGGGGAACUUGAGUGCAGAAGAGAAAAGCGGAAUUCCACGUGUAGCGGUGAAAUGCGUAGAGAUGUGGAGGAACACCAGUGGCGAAGGCGGCUUUUUGGUCUGUAACUGACGCUGAGGCGCGAAAGCGUGGGGAGCAAACAGGAUUAGAUACC
rnacentral:rRNA from 1 species